GGCAGGCCAGCAAACAGAGGUGAAGAGAAGGAAAAAAUCAGCAGGAUGAUUACAACCAUGAUUAGCUCAUUUUCCAUGGGUUCAGCUAUGCUACAAGCCCACUGUCCUCACUAAGGUCCUGUGGCUGGAGGAUAUUCCCAGGUUAAAUCCACCACCACGUCCUGCUCUCCCACCACAGUGCAUGUCACCUGGAGAUUCUGUCCCACUGCCACAGUGUCAGAGGAGGUCUGGAUCGCAGGAGACGGAGGGGCGGCUGGAUCUGCCAGGAUAUGCAGGAACAGCCCAUUGGACAGGAUUUCCUUUACACCUCAGUUCUAACGCAUCACCUGCCUGGACAGUCAACGUGUCGCCCACUUUCUGAAACCUUCCCUUGUUUACCACCUGGGUGAGAGCGCACAGGGAUCCGACCGCCACUACAUACUUUGCUGCACCCCAGCCAAUGUCAGCAAAGGCCACAGGCAGAGGACUUUGAAUGUUGAGUUGG